rnacentral:ncRNA from 1 species
CGCGAUAAAGGCAAACCCUGAGCAAUCAGGGGGACGCAAAGUGAAGGGUCUUUAAAAUAUUUUCCUGCCCUCGCAGGAAAAUAUAAAGAUAGCCUUACUGCCGAAG